CUCUGAGAACAUCACGUUUUGGAGGUGUUUGGUGAUGCCGGUACCCUUUACAGAGGAACCUGCUCUAUGCACAAAAGGAGUGAACAAUUACAAGAUAGAUGUUGCUCUCAUUGAACAUAAUGGAGCUUAAUUGGCAACUUACAGCUGCAAUGAGUGGACAAUAUCUAAGAAGUCUGUAGUUGAACCAACU